GGGGAUUUAGCUCAGUGGUUAGAGCGCUUACCUAGGAAGCGCAAGGCCCUGGGUUCGAUCCCCAGCUCCG
rfam:Rattus norvegicus chromosome 14, whole genome shotgun sequence.